UUUCUUCAUCCAAUGACCCUGAAUCCGUCUCUUGGUUAUCUCCCUUUUAAAUCUUCUUUUCUCUUUUCAUUUUCACACUUUUGCUCUCAAGUUUUUUUCUCUCAAAGAAGUAAAAUUUUACUCGUGUCCUCGUCUUCUUUAUGAGGAAGUUAGUCCAUCCCCCAAGUAUUCCCCUCACUAGGAAAUGCCUUUCUUUUUCUUACAUUUUUCACCUUAACCAUUGCAUAAGUUCGGACGAGUCUAGAACACAUUUAUGGGAUAACCAACAGGAAGAGUCAAUACAUUCUACUUCCAUCCAUUCUGCUAGUUCAGACUUUCAGGAGAUCUUAACUCCAGUCUCAAUCUCUAUAGUCAAUCUGGAAGAUAUAGGUUGUCUUAGAAUCAUGGAAAAAAAAUCCUGAGGGUGUUGAGAGUUCUGGGGAGGAAUGAAAAGUUGGAUCUUAUGAUGGUGAUGAGGAAAAUUGUUUGAGGAGUGGAGGGCCAAUUUUUAUAGGUUAGAAGUGACGGGGAUCUGCUGGCGAACUAGAGGGCUAAGUAUAGUAGCUCAAUAGAAAUGGCAAUUUCCAACCCUCUAACUGAGCUAGUGAUCUUCCAGUGGGAUGUGUAGCUCUAAACUCUGCCAUCCUGAAUGCCUGUCUCAAACUCCCUUUUCCUAUGGUCAUUCAUAGGUUUCUUUCUUUCUGGGGAAUAGCUCCAACUCAACUAUGCCCUAAUAGGUACUGAACACUGGUAGCCACUCUAAUUCUGUUGUAUAAGUUAGGAAACCCUGAGCUGAGCGUGGAGUAAUUUAACUCUUUAUUUACGUUCAAAGAGGAGGAAAAGAAUACUGGUUGAUGGUAUGCCAGUGUUAGAUCUAGAAUUGGGGAUCCACUAGUGUUAGAUACUCCUUCCUCAAUAAAGCAAUGAAAUUAUGAGUUCUUUUUUGUAAUAGACUACAAGAAGGCUACUUUGAGUUCGACUAUCAAGGAGCAAACUGAUGAAAUCAGAGCUUUUCCUAAAAAACAGAGGUCCUACAAAUUCAUUAUCUCUUAUUUCAAUCUCUUUCAAGCGAGGUUAUUUCGAUCUCAACCUCCGACCUCAAUGGUAACUGAGGCUUCUACUUCUAUUCCAACUACGUUAAGUAAGGAUCGACUUAUCUUUUAAAUGUUACAAUGAGUUUGUAGUUUAGAUUCUAACUCUUUUUCUCUUUUUUUAGAUUAGGACAAAUAAAUGCUAGGAUAUAAGGUAGCAAAGGUGAUGGCUACAGAUAAUAAGGGAAAGAAGAGACCCCUACUGAAGUAGUAGGAUAAAUAGAAGAGGUUAUAGUUGAGCAAGGAGAUGGACUUUCAAUGCAUGGCCGUUCUGAAGAGCCACCAACAAGGUCAACUUCUAUGGCCUUUUUUCUAGAACAAUCCUCUCCCACAAUACCACUCCAGAUGUUGACAUCACUCUUACUCCUCUUUUCGUCACUGUCGAGACCAACUCCUCGAGGUCAUAGGAACGGUGCCCAGAUCUGCAGAAGCCUAGCAUUGAUUGCUUGGUGGGUCGCCGACCUAGGAUAUUCAUGGACUUUCUUAGGGCUCCAUUUCUAUCCAAGGAACCGAUGGCUACACUAUCUCUCCCCUUAGAGAAUCUACCAACCUCCUCCUCACUAAUAGUUAGAAUGGGAAGAAGCAGAAAUUUAUUUCUAAGAUAUCAAUGGAUGAGGUCGUGAUUACUAUCGAGCUCCACAGCCACAGAUCCAUUCUAUUUAUGAUGUCUAUAGCAGAUGGGGUGCGUACUCGAGCUCGUGUACUUAGAAACUUUUGGAAGUCAAUAAUCAAGCCUUAAGCCUUUUCAAAAACAUGGAGGCUGAGAAGACAAGAUUUGCUAAGAAAAAAAGGAACACGAAGAUCGCCUUAACAAGAUGGGGGUCUAGCUUGAGGUAAAGCCAACAUCAGAAUUAGGCUUCAUCGAUGAAAUUAGGACCUUGAAAAUUUAGGGAAAAAAGGCUAACGAGAGGGCCUUUACUGAGAAAAUGAGGGUUGAAGAGGAAAAAGCUAAAGUUGACGAGGCUAUGAAGAGGGCUGAAGAAGCCACCAUGAAGGCAAAAGAGGCUGAGGCUAAAGCAGUCGAGGCAAUGAAAUUUUGGAGGGCCUCUCCUGAGUUUGGUGCUCUAACUCAGAAUCCUAUCUAAUAGCCUUGCAAGAGCUUGUGAAACACAUUGGUAACGAGAGGCUGGUUCUGAUACUGCCUUCUUAGUAGAAUCCUUAGAAGAGCAGAAGGAAGAGCUGGAGAAAAUGUCCGAGGCAAGUGAAGUUCGCAUAUCUUCUGUGGAUUAAGAUAUAUAGGAUGAUGUCAUUUCUCAAUAAGAUCCCAAGUCGCUUAGCUCCCCUUAUUUAAUGUUACUGCUAAACAUUGUUCAUUAUUUUGAUGUGCUCAUAAUCAACCUUUUGCUAGUAAAUUGAUAUUUUAUUAUUAUCGAGUGUCAGUUCAUUUUUUGCUCAAAUUGACAAUGUUUUGAUCCCCUUAAUGGAAAAUAGUCUAAAUAUUGCAGCACAUGUAACCUUAUGUCAACUUGCUUAGAAGUAAGGCUUUUGUAAUUUCCUUAAUUGAAAAUUUAUCAAUGUGUUGCAGCA